AAACCUACGGGGCGCAGCAGUGAGGAAUAUUGGUCAAUGGCCGGAAGGCUGAACCAGCCAAGCCGCGUGAAGGACGAAGGUGCCAAGCAUUGUAAACUUCUUUUGUCAAGGGACAAAAUCAGGCUCGAGAGCCUGACCGAGGGUACUUGAAGAAAAAGCAUCGGCUAACUCCGUGCCAGCAGCCGCGGUAAUACGGAGGAUGCGAGCGUUAUCCGGAUUUACUGGGUGUAAAGGGAGCGUAGACGGCUGUGCAAGUCUGAAGUGAAAGCCCAGGGCUCAACCCUGGUACUGCUUUGGAAACUGUG
rnacentral:rRNA from 1 species